GCGGCCGUAGCAUAAAGGUCAGUGCAGUGGGUUGUGAACCCAUUGAUGGCGGUUCGAUUCCGCUCGGUCGCC
rnacentral:tRNA from 1 species